UACAGAGGUCUCAAGCGUUGUUCGGAAUCACUGGGCGUAAAGGGUGCGUAGGCCGCACGGAAAAGUCAGAGGUGAAAAUCCCGGAGCUCAACUCCGGAAUUGCCUCCGAUACUCCCGUGCUUGAGGACUGGAGAGGAGUCUGGAAUCACAGUGGAGCAGUGAAAUGCGUAGAUAUUGUGAGGAACACUAGUGGCGAAGGCGAGACUCUGGACAGUUCCUGACGCUGAGGCACGAAGGCCAGGGGGAGCAAAACGGGG
rnacentral:rRNA from 1 species